rnacentral:rRNA from 1 species
CAGGUCUUGACAUCCUCUGAAAACUCUAGAGAUAGAGCUUCUCCUUCGGGAGCAGAGUGACAGGUGGUGCAUGGUUGUCGUCAGCUCGUGUCGUGAGAUGUUGGGUUAAGUCCCGCAACGAGCGCAACCCUUGAUCUUAGUUGCCAUCAUUAAGUUGGGCACUCUAAGGUGACUGCCGGUGACAAACCGGAGGAAGGUGGGGAUGACGUCAAAUCAUCAUGCCCCUUAUGACCUGGGCUACACACGUGCUACAAUGGACGGUACAAAGAGCUGCAAGACCGCGAGGUGGAGCUAAUCUCAUAAAACCGUUCUCAGUUCGGAUUGUAGGCUGCAACUCGCCUACAUGAAGCUGGAAUCGCUAGUAAUCGCGGAUCAGCAUGCCGCGGUGAAUA